AUACUCACUGCUGAGCAUGAGAAUAUAGAAACAAAGGCAUGAAGAACACAGAAGAUGUGAUCAGGACAUACAAGUAGCUCCAGAGCAUUUGCCAUAGGAACUCUGCAGAACCCCUGGCUAACAAUGGCUUGCUCUUAAGACACACUGAAGCAGGCAGCUGAAGUAAUAAACGACAACCAUUAAGAAAAACUCUCCUAUAUAGCUGGUGUUGAAACAGUAAAUAACACAGACAAGCCUGCCACUUUGGGAUACCAAAAAGGAUUCCCUGAGCCUAAGCACUUACCCACUGUGCAGCUCUCAGGUUGGACCUUGGACCUGCUGCUUGCUGCGUUUGAGACUGCUGAUGGACACUGAGCUGUGCCCAGCUCUGCCUGCUGUGUUCAGCCCCUAUGGGAUGGCACCUGGCUGGUGAGGGCACCGACUGUGCUGCAGUCACUCUUAGUGCAGAGGGCUGGCUCUCAUUCCCUGGUGUGCCCAGGCACCCUGUUCUGAUGUCAUUCCAUCUUAAUCCUAUGGGGCCUAUAGUAAUCUGUAACAUCACAAAAAAGUCUGUGGAAAAUGAGUUGCUUGGU